GCUCUGACACCAUCGACAACGUCAAGGCCAAGAUCCAGGACAAGGAAGGAAUCCCCCCGGACCAGCAACGUCUCAUUUUCGCCGGAAAGCAACUUGAGGACGGCCGUACCCUUGCUGACUACAACAUUCAGAAGGAGAGUACUCUUCACCUCGUCCUCCGUCUCCGUGGUGGCAUGCAGAUCUUCGUUAAGACACUCACCGGCAAGACCAUAACCCUAGAGGUUGAAAGCUCCGACACCAUCGAUAACGUCAAGGCCAAGAUCCAGGACAAGGAGGGUAUCCCCCCGGACCAGCAACGUCUCAUCUUCGCCGGAAAGCAGCUCGAGGACGGCCGCACCCUCGCCGACUACAACAUCCAGAAGGAAUCAACCCUUCACCUCGUCCUCCGUCUCCGUGGUGGCAUGCAGAUCUUCGUUAAGACCCUCACCGGCAAGACUAUUACCCUAGAAGUCGAAAGCUCCGACACCAUCGACAACGUCAAGGCUAAGAUUCAGGACAAGGAGGGAAUCCCCCCAGACCAGCAGAGGCUGAUCUUCGCCGGGAAGCAGCUCGAGGACGGACGCACCCUUGCUGACUACAACAUCCAGAAGGAGUCAACUCUCCACUUGGUGUUGCGUCUUCGUGGUGGUAUGCAGAUUUUCGUGAAGACUCUUACGGGUAAGACUAUUACCCUCGAGGUGGAGAGCUCUGACACCAUUGACAAUGUGAAGGCCAAGAUUCAGGACAAGGAAGGCAUCCCACCGGACCAGCAGAGGCUGAUUUUUGCUGGCAAGCAGCUCGAGGAUGGAAGGACCCUCGCUGACUACAACAUCCAGAAGGAAUCAACCCUUCACCUUGUCCUCCGUCUCCGUGGGGGGUUUUAAGCUCGUUGUGUAAUGUUGGAUGUGUUCCCAAAACAUUUGAAGAACUUUGAUGUUUAAUGGGUCUGUAAUAAUGUCCCUUGAAAAUAAGUUCGGUUUGUGUUGAACUCAAUUGUGUCCCAUUAAUAAUAGUACUCUAAUAUCCCAC
rnacentral:lncRNA from 1 species